AACGAACGCUGGCGGCAUGCCUAACACAUGCAAGUCGAACGAGACCUUCGGGUCUAGUGGCGCACGGGUGCGUAACGCGUGGGAACCUGCCCUUAGGUUCGGAAUAACUCCCCGAAAGGGGUGCUAAUACCGGAUAAUGUCUUCGGACCAAAGAUUUAUCGCCUGUGGAUGGGCCCGCGUUGGAUUAGCUUGUUGGGAGUGUAAAAGCCUACCAAGGCGACGAUCCUUAGCUGGUCUGAGAGGAUGAUCAGCGACACUGGGACUGAGACACGGCCCAGACUCCUACGGGAGGCAGCAGUGGGGAAUAUUGGACAAUGGGCGAAAGCCUGAUCCAGCAAUGCCGCGUGAGUGAUGAAGGCCUUAGGGUUGUAAAGCACUUUUACCCGGGAUGAUACUGACAGUACCGGGAGAAUAAGCACCGGCUAACUCCGUG
rnacentral:rRNA from 1 species